CUUAUCAAGAGUGGUCGAGGGAAAUGGCCCGAUGACGCCCGGCAACCUGCACGAAGUGCAAGGUGCUAAAUCCGACAGCAAUGCUGAAAGAUGAG
rnacentral:ncRNA from 1 species